rnacentral:tRNA from 1 species
CCUCUCGUGGUGUAGAGAGGUAACGCGCCCUAUCUAGUGAACACGGAGUCGUGAGUUCGAUUCUCACCGAAAAGA